rnacentral:rRNA from 1 species
UGUACCAGAAGUGCGUGGGCUAACUCGCAAGGGGGGCAGCGUACCAAGGUGUGGUCGGUAAUUGGGGUGAAGUCGUAACAAGGUAGCCGUAGGUGAACCUGCAGAAGGAUCA